rnacentral:snoRNA from 1 species
UCACAAUGAUGAAUGGUCCAAAACAUUCACUGUUUCCAGCAGAACUACAGAUGUUGGCAACUUCCUUCCUUGGAUGUCUGAGUGA